UACGUAGGGUGCAAGCGUUGUCCGGAAUUAUUGGGCGUAAAGAGCUCGUAGGCGGUCUGUCGCGUCGGAUGUGAAAAUCCAGGGCUGAACCCUGGACCUGCAUUCGAUACGGGCAGACUAGAGUUCGGUAGGGGAGACUGGAAUUCCUGGUGUAGCGGUGAAAUGCGCAGAUAUCAGGAGGAACACCGGUGGCGAAGGCGGGUCUCUGGGCCGAAACUGACGCUGAGGAGCGAAAGCGUGGGGAGCGAACAGG
rnacentral:rRNA from 1 species